rnacentral:lncRNA from 10 species
CUAUGUUUUGACUCUAAUUAUUAACUUUUCUCCAAAUGCAGUAUCAAAUAAUUAAAGAUUUGUUCUCUUUAUAGGUUCCCAAAUGAAUUAUCUAAUCAUGGCAUCAAGCUGAAAGACUUGACUAUCAUAUCAGGUUGAAAUGAGUCUCCUUGGAAGCUACUUUCUUGAUCAGGAGAACAUUUAAACUUAAAAAGGAUGGACAUAUGCUUCCAAUUGGUUGAAUCUAUUUAUCUGGAGAAUCCUGAAAUAGGAGGAAAAGUAAGAGAAAAUGACAGGCUGAGUUACUGGCAUGGGUUGCAACACCUAGAAGAAUCGGUGUGUUUCGCAGAGGUAAGUACCCACACCCACAUUUCUUUCUCUACUGCUUCCUUUUUGGCAACUUAGAAGUAUUAAAGUAGCAAAAAAAAAAAAAAAAAAGCAAAAAACAAAACAAAACAAAACAAAAACCUCACUUUCCUUCCAGAAUGUUAUAUUAUCUUCUCUUUUACAGCAACAUAUCUGCUUC